rnacentral:rRNA from 1 species
GAUGAACGCUGGCGGCGUGCCUAAUACAUGCAAGUCGAGCGAACAGAUGAGGAGCUUGUUCCUCUGACGUUAGCGGCGGACGGGUGAGUAACACGUGGAUAACCUACCUAUAAGACUGGGAUAACUUCGGGAAACCGGAGCUAAUACCGGAUAAUAUAUUGAACCGCAUGGUUCAAUAGUGAAAGACGGUUUUGCUGUUACUUAUAGAUGGAUCCGCGCCGCAUUAGCUAGUUGGUAAGGUAACGGCUUACCAAGGCAACGAUGCGUAGCCGACCUGAGAGGGUGAUCGGCCACACUGGAACUGAGACACGGUCCAGACUCCUACGGGAGGCAGCAGUAGGGAAUCUUCCGCAAUGGGCGAAAGCCUGACGGAGCAACGCCGCGUGAGUGAUGAAGGUCUUCGGAUCGUAAAACUCUGUUAUUAGGGAAGAACAAAUGUGUAAGUAACUAUGCACGUCUUGACGGUACCUAAUCAGAAAGCCACGGCUAACUACGUG